UCUUUCUUAAUGGUUUAAAGAGCACAGAUCUGGAGCCAGACUGCCUGGAUUGGAAUUCCAGUGCUACCACUUACUACCUUUGCAACCUUGGGCAGGUAAUUUAACCUCUCUGUGCCUCGGUUUCAUGAUCUACAUCAUGGAGGUAAUAGUAAUUCACAGGGUUGUUAUGAGGAUCCAAUGAAUUAAUACUUAGAAUUACUAGAAUACAAUACUGCUUGCCACUUAAUGUUUGCUGCUGUUACUAUUUUCAAAAAUAUGUUAGUAUUAUUAUCAUUACCUUCCCUUCCCUUGCCUAGCUCUACACUUAGGCAGCCUAUUCAUUCCCAUUGGGAAGGGGUUGUUUCAGAAAGGAUAUAAGAGUCUCAUUUUGGUCUUUCAAAUGCCUAGCUCUCAGGGAAAUAGAAAUGACUCAGAGCAGAUUAAAAAAAUACAAACAAGGCUUCCUGCUUCUGAGACUAGAAUGGUGUUCUUGAGAUGGGAAAGAGAAGAAAGUGAAGGGAAAGGUAGGUGCAGUCGACAUUAAUUGGUGCCUGGAAGACAUCCUGCCCCCUGACUUCACUGACCAUGUGUGGGACUGAGGGCCAGUGGUGGAAGGAAUGAUACGAAACCCCAGCAAAUCCGUGGAAUGCAAGAGCACAGGAGACGCGUGCUUCCUUUCAGGGUAGAGUCCUUGGCAGAGGCAAGACCCCAAAGAAGGAGUAGCUGUGCUGUGUAUCCAGGCAGACAGGGCUGGGAGAACCUCACAGAAAUUCUCUAUACCACGGCCUGGUGUAGUCACAAUGAUUCCUCUGCAUCUGAGAGGGAGACCAAAUUAUCAACUAGAAAAAGGCAGGCCUGAAGGAGCUUUGAGGAGUGGAAAAGGGAUGAUUCCUGGUGAUCUGCAUGUACUGAAGAUCAAGGAUCAGAUGGCAUGAUAGAUGUUUCCACAGAUGUCAGCAUGGACAAAUGACACUGAGGACCAGAUGCCCCUUAAUCCCAGACCAUAGCAAUAUGUGUUCAUGGUGAUGGUUCCAGCCUCCUGUGUUCAUGAUUCAUUAUUUGAAAAUCAACAAGAUUGACAUCUGCCUAUCUAUAAAAAGAUGUAAUAUAAAUAUUCUAUAUAAUACAUAUUAUAUAUAGCAAUCCAUAUCCUAUAGUUUACUGGCACAAGAAGAACAGGAGAAAGGGCUGGAAGAAAAGGAGGAAGAAACGAGGUAAGAAGGGGAGGAGAAGGUAGAUGUGAAGGAGGAAAUUACCUUCUUCCUAGGAGUUGUAAUAUCCAUUUCAAACUUUUUUCAAUUUUCUUUCCCAAGUAAGGGUCUAAAAUUAUUACCAUCAGUACAGUAUAUUCACCUCAGCCCAUCAAUGUUCUUCUAUUGGUUCCCGUCCACCAUAUGAGUCUGUUCAUGAAUAUUCUGUUCUUAUUCUACAGAGAGAGGGGCUCAGUUCAGAUCCCUCCCAGACAAUCACCACUAUUUCCAAGAGACCAUAACCUUUCUCCAAGCCAAAUCAAAUCCAGGACUUGUGAGACACCAUCGCCUAAUUUUCAAAUCAACAGGACAGAAGCUAGAAAACAAGCUUUAUCUCUUAGAAUAAAGUGAAAUUCUUGAACUAUAGAACUACUACCUUAUUUCAGGCAAAAGAAAGAUUUGGGGUGAGGAACAGGUAUAAAUGUGUCUGUCAUCAGAAAGAAAAAUAGAAAUGUCUGAGACAGCUGUAAGUCCAAGUGGAGUUGGUAGAUUUUUAAACACACUCCCCAGGCCAAACAAAGAACUUAUUUGUGUAUGGUGAAGUAUGAUUUACCAAGGAAGGGGGCUCACUGUCCUAUCUGAAACAUCCUUUUGAAAGACACCUGCAGCACUAUUAUGCAAUGUAAAGCACCAGGUCAUUAAGGGCUCCGUCAAUCAAGUUACUGAUUCUUCCAGAUACGGCUGGUGAAUAAAGAAGGCACGUCUCCGUUUCAGACUGAAAGUCACACUCCACCUGCUCCAAGCCCUGGGGUUUUGAAAAAAAGAGAAGUUAACCUAAUCUACUUCCAUACUAAAAGAAACAUUUGGUUCUCAAAGCCAGACUUUAGGAGUUCUUUCAUCCAAGCAGAAGCUGAUUCUUCAGUUAGAUCCUUCUGCUACAGCUGCUUCCAAAUAUCUGAGAAGAUUGUCCAAGAUGGCAGAGUAAAAAGACCCUGAGCUCACCUCCUCUCACGAGCACAUCAAAAUCACAACUAUCUGCAGAACAGCCAUCAGUGAAAAGGACUGGAGCCUACCAGAAAAGAGCUACAACUAAAGACAUAAAGAAGGAACCACAAUGAAAUGGGUAGGAGGGGCGGACUUGCGCUAUCAUCAAAUCCUAUACCCCUGGGUUGGCAACCACAAACCGGAGAAUAAUUAUAUUGCAGAGGUUCUCCCAUAAGAGUGACAGUUCUGAGCCCCAAAUCAAGAUCCUCAGCCCAGGGGUCCUGGACUGGGAAGAUGAGCCCCCAGAGCAUGUGGUUUGAAGACAAGUGGGGCUUACUUUUUGAGAGCCCUGUAGGACUGGGAGAAAUAGAAACUUCACUAGGGUGAAGUGCACACAAAAUCUCCCAUGCACUGGGACCCAGGGCAAAAGGAGUAAUUUGAUAGGAACCUGGGCCAAAAUGCUGAUCUGUGGGGGAGAUUGGGGGGUGCACAGCAGCUGUGGCUCACACUGGGGACAUAGACUCUGGUGGCAGUCAUAUUUGGGAGUGUUCUACCUUGUGGACACUGCUGUUGGCAUCGUGAGAUCCUCCUUCUAGUUCAUUAGCACCAAGAGCUGUUUCUACCCAAAAGCCUAUAGGCACUAGUACUGGGGACACCUCAGGCCAAACAAACAACUAACUGGGUGGGUACAGAGCCCCAUGCAUCAACAGACAGGCUGCCUCUAGACACAGCCUUGCCCACCAGUGGGCAGGCACCAGCCCUGCUCUCCAGGAAGCCUGCACUAGCUUCUAGAUCAGCCUCACCCACUACGAGGCAGACACAAGAAAACUACAAUCCCUCAGAAUGUAGACCCAGCCCACCCACAGUAGGCGAGACCCUACCCUGGGACCAGCUGGGCCCUGCCUACUAGCAGCCCAACACAAGCUUUGGGACACCCUGGACUCCAUACCCAACUGUGUCAGGAAUCAGCCCACCCUCACCAGUGAUCUGACACCAGCCCCGGGAUCCCUAGGCCCUGCAGCCAGACUCUAGGACCUGGAUCUGCCUGUCAGUAGUCCAGCACUAACCACAGGAUAUGGCUUCACCUGCCAGGGGGUGGACAACAGCCCUGGGGUCUUCUGGACCCUGAGUCUGCCCACCAGUGAGCCACCAUAGCCCUGGGGUCCCCUAGAGUUCUGCAGCCAGCCACCUCAUGACUAGACCCCAGCCAGCAGCAUCUUCACAAAGCAGUGCCUUGCAACCAACUGGGCCAACCAAGCCUACCAGACUGCUCACAUAACCCAGAGCAGUCAGAACUAUCAGAAAGAGAAAUUAAGGAGACAAUCCCAUUUACCAUUGCAUCAAAAAGAAUAAAAUACCCAGGAAUAAACCUACCUAAGGAGGCAAAACUAAGGAGGCAAAAGAUGUGUACUCAGAAAACCAUAAGACACUGAUGAAAGAAACUGAAGACAACACAAACAGAUGGAACGAUAGAUAGACUGUGUUCUUGGAUUGGAAGCGUUAGUACUGUUAAAAAUCACCAUUCUACCUAAGGCAAUCUAGAGAUUCAGUACAAUCUCUGUCAAUAUACCAAUGGCAUUUUUCACAGAACUAGAACAAAUAAUUUUAAAAUUUGUAUGGAAACACAAAAGACCCUGAAUAGCCAAAAGAAUCUUAAGAAGAACAGAGCUGGAGAAAUCAUGCACCCAACUUCAGACUAUACUACAAAGCUACAGUAAUCAAGACAGUAUGCUACUGGCACAAAAACAGAAAUAUAGAUCAAUGGAACAAGAUAGAAAGCCCAGAGAUAAACCCACACACCUAUGGUCAACCUAUGACAAAGGAGGCAAGAAUAUGCAAUGGAGAAAAGACAGUCUCUUCAAUAAGUGGUGCUGGGCAAAGUGGACAGCCAUAUGUAAAAGAAUGAAAUUAAAUCAUUCUCUAACAAACAAACACCACAAAAAAAUAAACUCAAAAUGGAUUAAAGACCUAACUGUAAGACCAGAUCCUAUAAAACUCCUAGAGGAAAACACAGGCAGAACACUCUUUUGCAUAAAUCACAGCAAUAGUUUUUUUUGAUCCAUCUCCUAACGUAAAGGAAAUAGAAGCAAAAAUAAGCAAAUGGGACCUAAUUAUAUUUGAAAGCUUUUGCACAACAAAGGAAACCACUGAAAAAAUAAAAAGAAAGACGACCAACUGAAUGGGAGAAAAUAUUUGCAAACGAUGUGACCAAUAAGGGAUUAAUAUCCAACAUAUGUAAACAGCUCAUACAACAUCAAAAAACAACUUGAUUAAAAAAUGGAAAGAAGAACUGAAUAGAAAUUUUUCCAAAGAGAACAUGCAGAUAGCCAACAGGCAUAUGAAAAGAUACUGAACAUCACUAAGAAAAGAUACUGAACAUCACUAAUUAUCAGGGAAAUGCAAAUCAAAACCACGAGCCAGCACCUCACACCUGUCAGAAUGGGUAUCAUCAAAAAGAACACAAAUAACAAAUGUUGGCAAGAAUGUGGAGAAAAGGGAACCCUCAUACAGUGUUGGUGGGAAUGUAAAUUGGUGCAGCCACUCUGGAAAACAGUAUGGACGUUUCUCAAAAAACUAAAAAUAGAACUACCAUAUGACCCAGCAAUUCUACUCCUGGGUAUAUAUUGAAAAAAACAAAAACACUAAUUUGAAAAAAAAAUACAUGCAUCCCAGUGUUCAUAGCAGCAUUAUUUACAAUUGCUAAGGUAUGAAAGCAACCUAAGUGUCCAACAACAGAUGAAUGUAUAAGGAAGAUGUAAAAUACAUACACACACACAAUGGAAUACUAUUCAGCCACAAAAAAUAAUGAAAAUUUUGCCAUUUGCAGCAACAUGGAUGGACUUGGAGGGCAUUAUGCUAAGUGCAAUAAGUCAGAGAAAGAUUGUAUGGUAUCACUUAUAUGUGGAAUUUAAAAAAUACAACAAACUAGUGAAUAUAACAAAAAAGCAGCAGACUCAGAUAUAGAGAACAAACUACUGGUUACCAGUGG